rnacentral:tRNA from 1 species
GGCUCAGUAGCACAAUGGUUAGUGCGUUCGGCUGUUAACCGAGAGGUUAUAGGUUCAAGUCCUAUCUGGGCCGCCA